AAUCAAACAGACACACACAAUAAUGAAAAAGAACCAAGCCAUUGAAAAAUGUAGUAGGCUCGGAUGGAGGGGUAUGUUGGAAGUCAAAAAUGCAAGAAGCGUUUGGGCUGGGCCAAAGGGUCCAAAUCCAGAACCAACCAGACCUGAAGUAGAACGCAGUGAACCCUUACUUCAUGAGCUGAAGUAAAAAGUGCUUAUGGUAAAAAGCUGUAACAUGAACGAAAUACACACCAAACUGAAAAAUCGCUUAUGCCAAAGAAUCAAAUCCAGCAAGGCGAUUCUGAUUUCCAACUUUGUGUUUUGUAGCUUCUAUCUCAAUCGUUUGUUCUGUGUUCGUGUUGAUUCUGCAAAUUACCAUUGUGUGCUUUUUGUCGUUGCUCCUGAUUCAUGCUUUGAUAUCGUCUUGCCACUCAUGGAUUUGCGCUCAUCGACGUCCUAUUAAUACAAUGGUUUGAAAUUCCAAUUCACGGAAUCAACAAUGACGACUAUUGAAAUCAACAACGCCGAAUUGCAACGACAUCACCGGAUCGAGUCGAAGAACAUUGAAGCAAGGAAAAGGAGAGCGUAUCGGUUAGGGCCGACGUGAGGAAGAUGAAGACGAUUCUCUCGGCUUUGCGUCUUGCUUCGGCUUCCCGGUGAUUUGGUUUUGCAGAAGGGUGUUUACGGUUUUCCUGCAUUUUGUGUUCUGCUGCAAUGCGUUUCAAUUUGUUCGCGUUGCCAUUUCGUUUUGUCGUUCAUGUUGCAACGCGUUUUGGUCUGUUGCGUUUUGAUGCUUCAUCUGCAUUUUCGUCUCCAUUGCGUCUUCACGUUUUGGCCUUGCAAUGUGUUGCGUUUGGAUGCGUACGUGUAUUCUGCUGCAUUUUGGAUUAUUCGCGUUGCCGUUUCGUUCUUCCUGCGUUGCAUUUUCUGCAAUUCCACGCCCACGUGUACCUCCAUGUGGUGUAAUUUCUAAUUGCAUUUUUACAUUCUUAUUUGGAUGAGGAUAAAUGUACAUUGAUUGGAUGUGGCUAAUGGAUAUAUGAUAUGUAAUUGAUAUGGAUAUGGUAAUUGAUUGGAUUAUGGGCAUUUGGACACGGAUAUUUGGAUGGA